UGAACGGCCACAUUGGGACUGAGACACGGCCCAGACUCCUACGGGAGGCAGCAGUAGGGAAUUUUCGGCAAUGGGGGAAACCCUGACCGAGCAACGCCGCGUGAGUGAUGACGGCCUUCGGGUUGUAAAGCUCUGUUGUAAGGGAAGAACGGUAGAUAGAGAAUAUCUAAGUGACGGUACCUUACCAGAAAGCCACGGCUAACUACGUGCCAGCAGCCGCGGUAAUACGUAGGUGGCGAGCGUUAUCCGGAAUUAUUGGGCGUAAAGGGUGCGUAGGCGGCCUGUUAAGUAAGUGGUUAAAUUGUUGGGCUCAACCCAAUCCAGCCACUUAAACUGGCAGGCUAGAGUAUUGGAGAGGCAAGUGGAAUUCCAUGUGUAGCGGUAAAAUGCGUAGAUAUAUGGAGGAACACCAGUGGCGAAGGCGGCUUGCUAGCCAAAGACUGACGCUCAUGCACGAAAGCGUGGGGAGCAAAUAGGAUUAGAUACCCUAGUAGUCCACGCCGUAAACGAUGAAUACUAAGUAUUGGGGAAACUCAGUGCUGCAGCUAACGCAAUAAGUAUUCCGCCUGUGGAGUAUGCACGCAAGUGUGAAACAUAAAGGAAUUGACGGGGGCCCGCACAAGCGGUGGAGUAUGUGGUUUAAUUCGACGCAACGCGAAGAACCUUACCAGGCCUUGACAUCCCUUGCAAAGCUGUAGAGAUACAGUAGAGGUUAUCAAGGAGACAGGUGGUGCAUGGUUGUCGUCAGCUCGUGUCGUGAGAUGUUGGGUUAAGUCCCGCAACGAGCGCAACCCUUGCCUUCAGUUACCAGCAUUCAGUUGGGGACUCUGGAGGGACUGCCGGUGAUAAACCGGAGGAAGGUGGGGAUGACGUCAAAUCAUCAUGCCCCUUAUGGCCUGGGCUACACACGUACUACAAUGGCUGUUACAACGUGCAGCGACCUAGCGAUAGGAAGCGAAUCACUAAAAGACAGUCUCAGUUCGGAUUGAAGUCUGCAACUCGACUUCAUGAAGCUGGAAUCGCUAGUAAUCGCGGAUCAGAAUGCCGCGGUGAAUACGUUCUCGGGCCUUGUACACACCGCCCGUCAUACCAUGAGAGCUGGUAAUACCCGAAGCCGGUGGCCUAACCGCAAGGAAGGAGCCGUCGAAGGUAGGACUAGUGAUUGGGGUCAAGUCGUAACAAGGUAUCCCUACGAGAACGUGGGGAUG
rnacentral:rRNA from 2 species